ensembl:ncRNA F02E8.8 ncRNA
AGUCAUAUGGAAGUCACAUUUGGUGUUUUGUUUUUAAAAUUCAAUUUUUUGCCACGUCAUUUUGGCAGCAGUGGUUAUAUCUCCAAUGUAAAUUAGUGUUUAACUGCUCACUAUUCAAAAAGUUAAAAAAUUCUGAU